rnacentral:rRNA from 1 species
UACGUAGGCAGCGAGCGUUGUUCGGAGUUACUGGGCGUAAAGGGUGUGUAGGCGGUUCUUUAAGUUUGGGGUGAAAUCUCCCGGCUCAACUGGGAGGGUGCGCCGAAUACUGAGGGACUAGAGUGCGGGAGAGGAAAGUGGAAUUCCUGGUGUAGCGGUGAAAUGCGUAGAUAUCAGGAGGAACACCGGUGGUGUAGACGGCUUUCUGGACCGUAACUGACGCUGAGACACGAAAGCGUGGGUAGCAAACAGG